GAUGAACGCUGGCGGCGUGCUUAACACAUGCAAGUCGAACGAGAAAUGGAGACGGAAACCUUCGGGCGGAAGGCUUCAUUUCGAGUGGCGGACGGGUGAGUAACGCGUGGGUAACCUGCCUCAUACAGGGGGAUAACAGUUGGAAACGACUGUUAAUACCGCAUAAGACCACAGCACCGCAUGGUGCGGGGGUAAAAACUCCGGUGGUAUGAGAUGGACCCGCGUUCGAUUAGCCAGUUGGCGGGGUAACGGCCCACCAAAGCGACGAUCGAUAGCCGAUCUGAGAGGAUGACCGGCCACAUUGGGACUGAGACACGGCCCAAACUCCUACGGGAGGCAGCAGUGGGGAAUAUUGCACAAUGGGGGAAACCCUGAUGCAGCGACGACGCGUGAGUGAAGAAGUACUUCGGUAUGUAAAGCUCUAUCAGCAGGGAAGAAAAUGACGGUACCUGAGUAAGAAGCCCCGGCUAACUACGUG
rnacentral:rRNA from 1 species